UACGAAGGGGGCUAGCGUUGCUCGGAAUCACUGGGCGUAAAGGGUGCGUAGGCGGGUUCUUAAGUCAGAGGUGAAAUCCUGGAGCUCAACUCCAGAACUGCCUUUGAUACUGAGAGUCUUGAGUUCGGGAGAGGUGAGUGGAACUGCGAGUGUAGAGGUGAAAUUCGUAGAUAUUCGCAAGAACACCAGUGGCGAAGGCGGCUCACUGGCCCGUUCUUGACGCUGAGGCGCGAAAAGCUAGGGGAGCAAACGGG
rnacentral:rRNA from 1 species